GGGGCUGCCCGGGGGUGGGGACCUGCCGUGUGGCGGGGGGCGCUGUGUCCCUUCUGCCUGCCCCUCGGCCCCUCUUUGAGCCUCAGAAAUCUCGAGGAUGCUGGAGUAGAUGGCCUCUGGGCUCCUCACGUCCUCAGGGAUCUGGAGGGACCUUGGGAGCCAGAGGUGGCAGACGGUGACGUGUGUGAGCCCCCAAGGGCUGUGUCCCCAUCACAGGACCCGCCUUGGGCUCUGUGGGUCUGUCCUGGGCCAGAGGACGCGUGCCCUACCAAGGCCCCCACGGUCACCCAUGGCUACCGGUCCACUGUCCAUCAUCGCCGCCCGACCUCUGCCCACCAGCUCCUGAGGCGUGGGCGCUGUGCCCCAUGUGACCCACGUGACCGAGGCUCACCCGUCCUCUCCCAUCCCCUCAGGUCUUCCCCCCGUUCAGGCUGAUUCCCAGGAGGGUGACGCUGAUCAUCGGGGCCACGAUGCAGGUAGGAGCCGAGGCCUGUCCCUCCCACUCAUGUCCCCAGCGGGUCCCAGCGAGGAGGCCACCGCCCCGCCUCAGGACAAGCCCGCCUGUGGCCUCUGCUGGCCCGAGGGUGGACGUUCCUGACGCGUGUGCAGGUGCCCACGAAGCCACGCGUCUGCCCCGCAGGUCACCCCUGAGGGCGGUCCCCAGCCGCAGUCCCACAUCCUCUUCUCCAUCAGCAAUGCCAGCGUGGCCACCGUGGGCAGCACAGGGCUGGUCCGUGGCCUGGCCGUGGGCAGCAGCACCAUGUCGGGCGUCGUGCAAGCGGCGGACGCGGACACUGGCAAGGUCAUCGUGGGCUCCCAGGUAUCCCUGAGCCCGUGGUGGCCGGCACCGGCCACGCCUGGGGUGGGGAGCCCUGCGGGUUGGUGCCCUGGGUCCAGGCAGCCCCGUGUGGCCAGCGGUGCCAGGCACUCCUGGGGACCUGCCCCUGAACCUACUGUCCUUAUGUGUCCCCUCCUGGGACAAACUGCCCAUGUGGGCCCCGUCCCCGGGUGCCUCCUGCAGGCCGAGGCUCCCAGGUCUCCUGUGGCGGGCCAGGCCACCACCCCACCCCGUGCCCCCAGUGGGUGGACGCUGUGCGGUCCUCUCCUCGGUCCUCAGCUCUGUGCCUCUGGCUCCCAUUUGCAGAGAGCCCCUGGAGUGACCAGCCAGUGGCCCUGUCCUCGUGUGGCAGGUCUGGGACGUGGCCAGGCUCUUGGUCUUGCUGGCUCAUUCCCAGUGGGGUUUGAUUAUGUGCCAGGGACAGAGGAGGGGACACUGUGUGGGUGACAGUGUGCGUGCGCUCAGGGUCGUGCCCCAAGUGUGGCAGAUUGAGAAUCAGUCAGGGGUGGCACCUCCAGGAGGGACCGUGAGCCACCUGCCACAGUCAGGUGUCCCCAAGCCUCUGCUGGGGGGACAGGCCUGAUUGCUCCUCCUGGUCACCAGACAGCUGUCCCUGCUGGGCGGGCCUCCUGCCCCGCCUGCAUGGGGGGCUCCAGGCCGGGAGUCAGCAUCCGGGGUCCGCUGCCUUUCCCGGGGGUCGGGCACCUCCAUCUCCUGGAGUGGAGGCCGGGUAAUCUCCACGGCUGUGAGAGGCUCAGGGGUACCCCAGAGGCCCUGGUGCCCCUGGCAUCCUUCGGCCGUGGUGACCCAGGCCCUCAGGUGCAGGUUGGGGUCCCGCUGCCGGCCACACUGAGCGCUGGGGGCUGAGGACAGCCCCGUGGGCACGCAGGGCCACCAGGGAGGAGGGCCUCUUCAGAUCUCAGCCGGCGUCCCUCGCCCAGAAGCGGGUCCCCUCCGAGCAGCCCGAGCCCUCUGAGCUCAGGGCGUGUGAUCCUGCUUCCCAGGCGGACUUUGAUCCAACCAUGAGUCCACUGAUGGACUCCUCUGCCCGCAGCUUCAGUGCGGGCUUCCAAGCAUCCGGGUGACCACAGAGGCUUUGUGAGCACCAGGGGACGCCAUGACCCUCUUCCGUGCCAACAGACGCAGGGCAGCCCUGAGCGCCCGGAAACUUCCACGGGGUCCAGAGGCCCCGGGUGCCUUGCUGGCUUCUCUCUCUGGGGGGGACCCGGCUCCUCCUCUCUGGGGCCAGGCAGAGGACGACAGCCCUGUCCCCUCCCCUCUGCCCUUCUUCCCUGUGGCCUGGCCUUGCUGGCCCCCUUGCCCCCUGGACCCACGUCCAUGUCGAGCUGUGUCUGGUCAAAGCAUCCAGGACCAGCUGUCCAACCCCAGCUCAGAAUCAGCACCCCAACCUGCUGGGUGGUCCUGCUGGGUGGCCCAGGCCUCUUAGUGGAAAUGGACCAGAGAAGGAGGACCCGGGGCAGGUGGGAGAGUGAGUGCUUUUCAGGACCAGCUGAGUGCCAAGGAUUGACAGCAGUCAGGAGGCACAGGGUCCCCUUGAGCCUGUCAGCAGGCCUGGAGGGGUUAGUAGCCUGAGCACAGCCCAGGUCAGCUGCGCAGGUCAGCAGACCACUGAAGUGGGCAUUUGGUCAGAUCAACAGAAGCAUGGAGAUGAGAAUGUGGGAGUAUGUGCAGUCUGUUCUCACCGCACCCUGUGGCUCCUGUGUGCCUCCCUGUGUCCUGAGUCAGGGAGAAGGACGAGCUGGAUUUGGGGUUGAGUGGACCUAGAGACCUGUCCUGCGAGGGCCACCCGCUGAGAGAACAGGCCCCAGCAAGCCUGCCAUGCUAACAUGGGUCAGCUGGGCCGCUAGGCCUCGAGGCUCAGGGGCCAGAUGGGGACUUUGAAGGGCCCGCAGCCUGAGCCCAGUCUCUUCCCAGGACCUGGUGGAGCUAGAGGUGGUGCAGCUGCGGGCGGUGAGGAUCCGCGCACCCAUCACGCGCAUGAGGACGGGCACCCAGGUGAGGACCAGUCGGGAUGGGGCUCCGUGUUCUGGUUCUGACGAAGCCAUUGUGAGGGCACUUCCCUGGGCCAGAGCCACGUGUCCAUGGUGCCCAGCUUAGGCUCGGUUCUGGGCCUGGGGUGGGGUGGGCGUGCAACACAAGCAUAGCGUCUCCCCUUGGGGUCCACCUGGCCUCCUCCCUGAGGGCGAGGCUGCCCAUCCCCCACCUUGGAUAGCACCUGGAUAGCAGGAGCCCCUACCCCGUGCACCUGUGAGGUUGGCCGGUGAGCGAUGGACGUGGAUACCCCGAGUCCUGUGCACAGCCAGGGCUGCUGUCCUUGGCACCCAGGAGGUCUGCUUCCCAGAGCUCCUGCCAAUACCAAGACCUAAGAGUGCCCUCGUCCUUCAUGUGAAGCGCCCCGUGGGUGCAGGGGCCUGUGUGUCCUCCCAUGCACCUGGGGUUGUCCCCAAUGUCCCCAGCAUCCCCAGGGCGAGUCAGACAGUUCUCAGGCCUGUGCAGCUGGUUGUGGGUGUGGCUAGCACUGCGUGUCCCCAGUCUGCCACCUGGAGUCGGGCUGGGGGCCAGCUGGUGGCCGGCUCACCUACGCCUGCCCACAGGCUGAAGGAGCCAGGCUGCCGGUGUCCACGCCCCACAAGGCCUGGGAGGGUCAGCAGGAGGGUGCGGACCUCGGCAGCAUGGGCUGAGUGGCCAGGGGUGUCCGCAUGCCUCCUGCAGCCCCAGGGGUCUUUCCAGAAAUGGACCUGGUCAUGAACAGCCCCUGGCAGGGAGGGACAGGCCGGUCCCCGGUGGUUGGACUAUCUGGUGUUUGGUCAUGGCUCCCAGAACCUAUGUCCGGCCUGGGGUGGACAUGGGCAGAUAGGCAGAGCUCCAGGAGGAGGGUCCCCAGCCUGGGUGCGUGGGUGCUCACAGGCCCGGCUCUCUCACCCCCAGAUGCCCGUCUAUGUCACUGGGAUCACCAACAACCAGAGCCCUUUCUCCUUUGCAAACGCCGUGCCAGGCCUGACCUUCCGCUGGUCGGUCACCAAGCGCGACAUCUUGGAGCUCCGCGGACGGCACCACGAGGUAGGGCCCAGCCUGCCUCCCGGAGGGCGGGCGGCCUCAUCGCCCCGGGGGCCUGUCCCAGGGCAGGGGACACAGGGCCCGCUGCAGGACACACUGUGGCUUAUCACAGACGUCCUGCAGUGGGCCCUGUGGGGGACCCCACAAAACCCAGCAGCCCCCACAUAACACUCCCACGCACACACAGGGCUCCAGGCCCUGCUCAGUGACCCCGCGUCCCAGGCACCAUGCAGAGUGGCCGGUGGCCUUGUGUGGGUGACUGCCGUCUGUGUGGCCCUGGGUCAGCAGAUCUGACCCCGGCCGAGGGCAGUGGCCUUGGGGAAGAGGGUGCCCCCAGGCCUGUCCCUGAGCCCGCUCUCUGCCUUCCAGGCGUCCGUCCAGCUGCCCUCGCAGUACAACUUCACCAUGAGCCUGCUCGGCCGGGCGACGGGCCGCACGGGGCUGAGGGUGGUGGUCAAGUCCCUGGACCCCUUGGCGGGACAGCUGCACGGCCUUGCCAAGGAGCUCUCAGACGAGAUCCAGGUCCAGGUACUGACGGGACAUAGCCGUGAGGGCAGCAGACAGCGCAGGGGCCUGGCCCAGAGCUCCUGGGCCCCUGGUGUGGGGGACCCUCGCUGCACUGAGGGGCUGCGCCUGCCUGGGGAGGACGGGCAGAGGGGGUGUGUGUCACCCUGGGGGGAGCCCAAGGGUGGUGUCGCCAGACUGCAUGGAGGGACUCUGCGGGUGGCAGGGUUGGCUGCAGAUCUGAGCAGCAAAGGCCUGGUGACCGGGAACAGCCUGUGGGUUCCAGGAACAGCAGCUGGGCCUAGUUCAGGAGAGGGCGGGGCCUGCUCAGGGGAGGGUGGAGCCUGCUCAGGGGAGGGUGGAGUCUGCUCAGGGGAUGGCGGAGCCUGCUCAGGGGAGGGUGGAGCCUGCUCAGGGGAGGGUGGAGUCUGCUCAGGGGAGGGUGGGGCCUGGUUCAGGGGAGGGCGGAGCCUGCUCAGGGGAGGGUGGAGCCUACUCAGGGGAGGGCAGAGCCUGCUUAGGUGGUCAGUGGACCUGCUUGUGGUCAGGGGUCAGGCCUUGGGUGGGGCCUCAUGACACAGGACCAGCUGCCUGGAGGGCAGGGAGCCAGCUGCCCUAUGUGGUCUGGAGAGGGAAUGUAGGUGGUGGGCUCCCUAGGAGUCCUGCUGCCCCUGUGUCCUCCAGGAGCCCUCGAGCAUGGCAGAGGGGAGGGAGCCGGAUGGGCCACAGCAGAGAGAGAGGCUUGUUCUGAGAUGGCGACAGGGACAGGAUGUCUCAGUGGCGGGGGUCCCCUGAGCAGGACGCCGGGCCUGAUCUCCCUGCUGUGGAGUCUCCUGUGACGGGGGCCGAGGCCGAGGCCGAGGGUGAAGCCGGGUGGCCCAGCUCCCACGGGGUGCAGACAGCUGCUGCUCCUGGGCUGGGCCACCAGCCCCAUCGUGUCCCCAGCCAUGGGGCAGAUAGUCUGCCGUUGGUCUCGUCCUGGCCCCCAGCCCCCACUUGUGGAUAAGGGGAUUCAGGCGUGCCGUGGGAGACCCAGCUCACCCUCUUUCCCAGGUUUUCGAGAAGCUGCGGCUGCUGAACCCCGAGAUAGAAGCAGAACAAAUAUUAAUGUCCCCCAACUAGUUUAUCAAGCUCCAGACAAACAGGUACGUGUCCCGGCUCCUGUUCACAGCAGGGCUGGGAGCUGCCCCCCCAUGCCCAUCUGGACACCACGGGGCCUUCUGGGCACUGGGCUGGACCUGGGUGGCCACUGCCCAUCUCUGGCCUCCUCCGGGGCCGCCCGCCUACCGCAGCCUAGAAACAUCUCCCACUCACGGGGGAAGCUCGGGGUUGAAAAGGGGAACAAGUUCCAACUUGGACUGUUAAAUAUUUCAAAUGACUCAGAAGCGGAGCCCAUGAAUUAACCAGAGCGGCCUCACCUGGGACCAGGUCAAGUGCGCCUCGCAGCCUUGCCCAGACCCGCAAGGACAAAGCUGCCCUGUAAUGAGGUCCCUGGGCAGUGGCCAUGCACAUUAACGUCUGAAAAGUGCACCUUUAAAGGUUCUGAGCAGGCGUGAUUCCCACCUGACCCUCACAGGGACAGGGACACUUUUCCUAAGGAGCAUUUGCGCUUAAGUGGCAGUUGCUAAGGGCCCGGGGGCCGAGUUCCAUGUUUUAUGAACGCACACCCAGGGAGUGUUCAGCCGGAAGUAACUCAGUGCCCAGCACUGUGCUAGGCCCCAGGAAUGCAGGCAGAGGUGGAUGGCACGAGGUGACAUCAGGUGACAGCAGGCGUCCUGCAGGAGCCCACCAAGAAAGGGGCCACACGGCCAAGCCAGGGCUCAAGUAAGAGCUGCUGGCCCCCAGAUUUAGGGGAGCCGCGGCCCAGAUCACCUGGAGGGCUGGCCGCAGAGGAGAGGGCACAGGACACCACAGGACGUCCCCUGGCUCAGUGCCUGCUGACGGUGUCCGUGACCCCUCUCAGGGUCCAGUGAGCAGCCCCAGAAAUAGGACGGGGCACUCGGCCUCCCCUUUCAGAGCUGACGAAACCGAGGCCAGAGAGAAGGCGGAGGAAGCUCUAGACCACCUCGGACCUGUCCCCACCUGGAUCCUGUCCCCACCAGGGUCCUGUCCCCGCCCCAGUCCUGCCCCCGCCCCGCACUCUCCACCGCACCAGGCGGCCUGACCUCAGUGACCGUUAGCUGCAGAAGCCAUCUUUACCCAUAAAUGACCGUGUCGCUGAUGCAACCGUCCUCAGGGUCUGUCGCCCGCUGCCCGCUGACCCCACGGCCACUCUGAGGAGUGCGUGGCCAUGUUGUCUUCAGAGCCACAGGCUUUCUGGCUUAGGUCUCCUGGGGGUGGCUGACGAGGCUGCCGACGGCGACAGCACACGCUGCACUGCAGGCAGAUGGUCGAUCUCGAGGCAUCGACCAGGGCCGUCCCCCACCCCCGCAGCCAUCUGCAGAAACAGAUGUCUUCUUCCCCAAGGGACGGUGCUGCGGCUCUUUGCUACCGUGUCCUGGAGGGGCCUGAGAAGGUUCCCGUCGUUCAUGCCGAUGAGAGGGGCUUCCUGGUGUCCGGCUCUGUGAUCGGGACGUCCACUGUCAAAGUGACCGCUCAGGAGCCUUUCGGGGCCAACCAGACCAUCAUCAUUGCCGUGAAGGUGGGUGGCACUUGGCCCUGUUUUGGAUAACAAAAUCUAAAGCUCAGAGGCACGUUUUUCCUCUUUCUGGUGUAAAACUGGUUCACCCAGCCGGGGGCCUGCGGUGCACAUCUGUGAUCCCGGGAGCUCAGGAGGCUGAGGCAGGAGGAUCGCCAGUUGGAGGCCAGCCUCAGCAACUUAGCAAGGCCCUGAGCGACUCAGGGAGACCCUAUCUCUAAAUAAAAUACAAAAAGGGCUGGGGAUGGGGCUCAGGGGUUAAGCACCUCUGGGUUCAGUUUCCCAGUACCAAAAAAAAAGAAAAUGUGUUCAUUCUCCAGCUGUAAACCGUGGGUAGGGAUUUACGUAAGAGUCACCCAGGGACAAAUCCUGGGCAGGUGUGUGGCUGUUGGAGCCAAAGACCCCAAGAGGUCACCGAUUCUACCCACCUUGUUUCAUAGAUGGGAAACAAGUCCAAUGAGGGCCUGGAUCAGCCCGGGGGCCCAGGGCUGGUGCCCCGUCCCCCCGGCCCAAGGGUACACUGCCUGACGUGCCUGAUCCCUAACGUGGCCACCCCUGGGAGUGGAGCCCCUGCGGGGGCCACCCAGGGAAGAGCGAGGUCGAUCCUGGACCAAACACUGUGCACUUGCCGGGGACCCCCCACGAUACUUUCAAGCUCAUGAAAGUGGCUAAGUGCUCAUCCUGUUUCAGCACGCACGUGCUGAGCGCUAACUAUACCAGCCACUGCCUCCCGGGACUUUGCGGUGACUUUGGACUGGGGAGGGGUGGCUUUGUGACCAGGAGGUUUCUGCCUGGGAUCCAGAGAGAUUUGUUGAGUUGCGAUUUAUGGGACUCGGGUUCCUCCGUCACCUGGGGCUCCUCUCUGACCCAAGGGGCAUUGUUCCUGCCUCACGUGCCCCAAGAGCCAGGUGACAGCCGGUGGUGCUUAAGCAACGAGCACAGCACUCUGGUCUCUCCAGGUCCUGAUGUGGGUGUCCUGGGUGGCACCCGGGGGACUUGGCCUGCACGGUUGGUGGCGGGAACUGGGUCAUAGGCCUGGCGCUCUGGAGGCCCGUCCCCGGCUCAAGGGUGUCAUCAUAUUGCACCUGUCCUCCAGGUGUCCCCCAUCUCCUACCUGAGGAUGUCCAUGAGCCUGGUCCUGCACACCCAGGACAAGGAGGCCCUGGCGGCCCUGCCUCUGGGGAUGACCAUGACCUUCACCGUCCACUUCCACGACCACUUUGGAGACGUCUUCCACACGCACAGUUCGGUCCUCAGCUUUGCCACCAACAGGUAGGGUGUGGGUGACACUGUUGUCACAGCCCCACCCGGGGUGCCCCUGGUUCCACCCGGUGUGGCGACAGGUGGGGACUUGGGCUCAGCCACCAACAGGACCCAGUGCUGUCCAAUUCAAAUCUGUUUUUAUUUUGGGGUCACUCGUGGUUUCCCAGGUAGGGGCCACCUUGCCUGGCGGAGGGAGCAGACCGUCUCCAGGGUCUGGGGGAGCAGAGGGAGCAUCCUGCCGGUGGUGACCACUGCAGCCUGGGCUUCCCACGGCCGGUGGCCGAGCUGGCAGAGUGGGGCCUUAGGAGACACGGGCACCAGCUGCCCUCUAAGCGCCAGCCGUUUAGCGCGCCCGUCACGCCACGUGGCAGGCACAGUGUCACCGGUGCACAGAGGGGACGUGGCGAGGCUGUCCCACAGCAGAGGCCUUCUCUGGGGGUCACUCUCCUCCUGGCCGCGGCUUCCCUUCUGGGUGUGGGGUGGCGGUGCUGGCCCUGGGUGGCCAGGGGCUGUGGCCUCUCUCCUGCAAGGCGCGAGGAGGCCUGCGAAGCCCUGGGACUCCCUCCAGCUGAGCGCCUCCCUGUCCCCAGAGAGGACUUCGUGCAGGUCACCAAGGGCACCACCAACAACAUCUGCGUACUGCGCACGGUCAGCGUGGGCCUGACGCUGCUGCGCGUGUGGGACCCCGAGCACCCCGGCCUCUCCGACUACGUGCCGCUGCCCGUCCUGCCGGCCAUCGCUCCAGAGCUGCCCGGCACCGUGGUGGUCGGGGAUGUCCUCUGCCUGGCCACUGCGCUCAUGGGCCCCAAGGGUGAGAGUUCCAACCAGGGCGGUCUCGGGGUCACCGUGCCUGCCAGGGUGGGAGGGGGACCCUGGGGUGCCCUGAAGGGGUCAGGAAGGCCACCAGAGGGCCACAUAGGCCAUGUUGGCUUUGGAGAUGUACCUGCCUGGUAGCAGGGCCACUCCCUAGUGGGCGCCUGGGGAGGGUGGCCCUGGGGACAGUUCCCCUGGUGACGGCACCCCUGGGGACGGUCUGCUGGGCAGCCACAGUCCAUAGAGCAGGUGUGCCAGAAGGGGCCACCAGGACGUGGCCACGGAGGCGGGCAGGGAGGCUGAACCACAAGGCCCCUCGUGGGCAGGGGUCAGGAAGAGGUCAUGGGCGGCCGGUCCUCUGUGGGGGGGGGGACGGGUGACAUGGGGCCUCUCCUCCCAGGUGCCCCAGGAACCUGGAGCUCUUCAGCCGACAGCAUCCUCCAGGUCGACCCCAAGACGGUGAUGGCCGUGGCCCGGGACGCGGGGUCCGUGACGGUGCACUACGAGGUCCCCGGGCACCUGAGGACCUAAAAGGAGGUAGGGCAGUGGGCGCCGGGCCUGGCCCACCCUCCGCGGGCAGCGGCGCCCUGGCCUAUGGCUGGGAACGCCUGUCCUUUAAACCAGUACCGUGUGUCCAGGGGUCGGCCAGGACCUGGGUCCCCAAACCUGCAGGUGCUCAGUCAGGUCCCUCACGUGCUACGGCACAGUGUGACCUGUGGCCUGUGCAGCCCUGUGUCCACUCUGAGUCGUCCCCGGGUGGCUGGUGACAGCAGGGAAGCACUGUGUGCCCUGUGACCAUGCUGUGCUGUUCAGGGGGGACAAGACCCCCGGGCCUCCUCCCCAGAGGCCGCUCCUCUCAGGGGAAUCUUAGAAAGACACGCAGGCCACCGAGGCCGCCUGAGUCACCGAGGCCACCUGAGCUGCCUGAGGCCACUGAGGCCACCUGAGGCCACCAAGGGAAGCUCAAUGAUGUGACGUCACCAACAGAGUGAAGCCACAAGGUCACCUUCAGAGCCUUCUAGAGGCAGCAACCCUUUGGCUCCGUGUUUCUGUCCGGCUGAGGACAGGUCAGCGUGGACCCCGGUGGCACAUUAGUGCCAUGCCUGGGUGGCCAAGGACUGGGCGUGUCCUGCCUCCUGGAAGGGCCCAGCAGGCAGGUCCCGGGGCGCAGGGCCCUGGGUGGCUGCUGGAAGGAGGGCUGCACGUCCUGGGCCUGGCCGGUCUCUGGUCAGAUCCUGGAGGCGUGAGGUCUGGGCAGCUGGUCCCGCGGCUGAGCGCAGGUGGCCUCAGGGAGCAGGGCUGGGGUGACCCUGUCCACGUGGCUGACCAGGCGCCCACGGCCCUUCCUGAGGGGAGCCGGGGCAGGGGGUGGGCACCACAGUGGGGGUCACAGGGGGUCCAGGUGGGGUCGCACCUCCACGUGGGGCUGCCAGGAAACCUGGGGCCUCCUGUGUCCCCGAGGGUGGGCGGGACACGGGCUGGGCGCAGGGCUGGGGACGAGGCCCAGCCACAGGCAUCAAGUGGGACACGGACUGGGGCGGAGCCAGGGCCAGGAGUGCUGUCCGGGGCUGUGGUGGUCAGCCCUGUCCAGCUGGCCCCUGGGGACCUGGAAGGAGGCAGUGCCUGGGCUCUGGGGUCAGUGUGGCCUCUGCCUGUGGCCUUCAGUGGGGGUUGAUGACUCCGAGUAAAGGACAGGAGACUAAAGUGGGUCCUCUUUGCUGCGAGGUCAGGUCAGGAGCUCCUGACUGGUGUGUCAUCUGGGUGUCACAGGUGCCAUGAGGUCGAGAGGGGCGCAGGCCGGGUCAUGAGGUCCAGCGGACUGAGUGUACGCUGUGCUGGCCGGGUGGACAGGCCUUGGUCCUGUUGUCACCUGGGGCCAGGUGUCCUCAGGCCGCAGGCUCAGGAGGGGUCACGGGGGGCCCAGCAUGGAUGGCCAGCGGGCGGCUCUUCACCAGCUGCCUCGCCCUCCACAGAUCGUGGUCAGUGUCCCCCAGAGGAUCGUGGCCCGGCGUGUCCACACAGCCCAGGCCAGCUUCCAGGAGGCCACAGCCUCCAGAGUGACCAUCACCGUGGGAGACAGAAGCUCUAACCUGAGAGGUCCAUGCCGUGGGGAGGUGGAUCCCAGUGUCCCUGAACCCAGAGGCCACCCAGAGCCUAGGACCCCACGGCUGGGCAGGUGCUCUGCCUCCAAGCUGCGCCUGGCCAGCUGUUCCCACCCAGGGGACACUCUGCUCCUGGCCGACACCUUCGCCUCCCUGGGGCCCACCUGUCCCUUGCCUUGGGUGGCCGGGUGUGGUGGCCGCUGGCCAGGCCUCCUGACUCCGCCCGUCUGCAGGCGAGUGCUCCGCUGCCCAGGGGGCGGCCAUCCCGGCUCUGGGGCCCGAGGCCCUCCUCAGCUGCCAUCUUCGGUUCCAGCAAGACGUCUUCGACCUCCCAGUGACAGACGUGUUCUCGGCCGAGCCGGACUUCGACGUCACACUGGGUGAGCCAGGGCUGAGGGGCUCUGCCCACCGCCUUGGGCUGCCCAGUGGUCAUGGCCUGGCUCACCACUGUCCAGCCUGGCCCAGGGCCCUCCUGGGAGUCCGUCCUGUGUGGUGCCACCAGGGCCAGGCCUCUGUCGCUUCUGGGCCCACAGGAGGCUGGCCUUCAGCCACCGCCGCACCCGCAGGACGGUGCAGGGUCAGGAGAGUCAGGGACAGGGUGGGGUGUCAGCGCAGGUAGGGGACAGGGACAAGCAGGACACCCCUGUCUCCGCAGGCCAGUACCUCUGCUCGGUCACCAUGCACAGGCUGACCGACGGGCAGCUGAGGCACUUGAGCUCGAGGAGGACACCCCUGGUGGUCACAGCCUCGGUGGCCGGGGGCCAGACGUCUGUGGAGCAGGUGGGGGCCGAGGUGCCCUUCAGCCCUGGGCUCUACGCUGACCAGACUGAGAUCCUCCUGAGCAACCACCUGUCCAGCCGCGAGGUCAAGGUCUUUGGGGCCGCGGAGAUCCUGGACAGCUUGGAGGUGAGCGGAGGGGUCGGGGCGGACGCAGGGACCACAGUCGGACUUCACGUUGACUACCCGGGUGGUGACCGUCCCCAGCCCUUUUUAUAUUUUAUUUACAGACAGGGUCUCNGGGGGGGGGGGGGGGGGGGGGGGGGGGGGGGGGGUUGGCGUCGGCGUGGUGGUGGCAUCCAGGGUGGCAGCGGCGGCGACUUCGGUGGCCUGUUUCCUGCCGUGGCCUGGUUCCUGCCGUGACCUGGUUCCUGCCUUGGCCUCGUUCCUGCCGGGAGUGAGGUCGGCUUUGGGGGCAGCUAGGGCUGUGUUAGCGGCGGCGGUAGCUUCGUUCCCGCCAGGAAGUAGGGCAGCGGGGAUGGUGUCCGCGUGGGCUUCAGCCGGGGUGGUGCCGGCGGCAGCCUCAUUCCUGCCGCGGGGUAAGGCGGUGGGGCUGGGGUCCGUGUGGGGGGCAGUUAGAGCAGCGGCGGCGGCAGCUACGUUCACGCUGGGCUCCGCACCACCCGGUGUCCGGGAGCUGAGGGUCCUUUUGGCUGCUCCUAUUGCUUGGCGGCUGGGGCGCCGAGCUGUCCGUGGGCGGCCCUCCCCACAAAGGGCAGCGGAGCUGCGUGGUCGCUGGCAGCAGCAGCGGCUGGCCUAUGAGGGCACAGACAUUUGUUGCAGUUCUUGGGGCUUUGUUGUUUUUCCUUGGGCUUUUACCCUUCUUUUCGUUAAUUUUGGAUAAAAUGUCCCCCGUGAUGUAAAGAUUGAGCAAGGAACUUUCGUGAUGUGGGGAGCUUUGCCGAAAGUGCAGGUUGGAUUCUGCUUUUCCUAUGAUGGCGGCUGGAUGAAUCUUCACUGCUGGCCGUGGAAAAGGAUAGAGCAGCUUGUUAGUUGAGUUUUAAAUUUCCCAGUGUUGUUUUUAAAGGUUUUACAUGCAUAGAAGAGGAAUGUUCACCUUAAAUAAGCAUAUGAGCGAUUAACAGGGUAUGUUUUCCUCUGGGAAAGGGAAUUUGGUAGCUCUGACCCAUGUCAGUCUGUGAAUAUUUAGACAUGCAGUGACUUUUUAACAUUUUUUCAUAAAUGUUAUUUGUGAAACAUUUCAUAUAUGUUAUUUAUGAAAUUGUUAUUUACAGUUAUGUUGUUAAUACUCCUUGCCUUUAGUUCCCCGGCAAAUCUUUUUCAUUCCUUGUGAGAAAGUAGACAAUUGAUAGAUUAUCCAAGGAAUGGAGAAAAAUGUGAGUGGGUGAUUUCGGACAAUCCCUGAGAGCUGGCAUUGUAAGAUUCAUCCUAUCCCCAGUAAUAUUUUCAUACAAUAAAUGUGAACACUUUUGAAGACUUUUUAUAGAGAUACAGUUUGGGAAUGAUAUUAAGAUAAGGAAAAGCUGUUGAUUGAUUUCUUAGAUUAACAUUUCUUCCCUCUUCUCUUUUCUCUUUAAAACAGUUUUCCAAGUGAUAACUUCAUCAAAUGGCCAGUGAUAAGCAAAUGUCCGAUGAUGACAGCCCCAGCACCAGCAGUGGCAGUUCAAAGUCGGACCAGGAAGACCCUGCUGCUCCAGAGCCUGAAGAUCAUGAAGAAAGAACCUUCUGCCACCCAGCAGAAGAAGAGCACCAAACUCUCUAGCAAAACCACUGCUAAGUUAUCCACUAGUGCUAAAAGGUAACAUUGUCAGGUUGUCUUCCAAGCAAUUGGAUGCUUUUAUUUUUACAUCAAGAACAAUACUCCAGAAAUACUUCAUGACCAAUUUUAUUUGUACUUGAAUGAAUUGUCAUCCUUUAGGGGACAUGAAAACGUCCUCACUAAAAUUAUGCUUCUAAGCAAACUUAUUCUGUACUUUGGUAAUUUCAGGAAGAGUCCUAGAGACUGAAUUCUCAUCCUGACAGUUUAAGGAGUUGGCCAGGAAAAUUUGUGAAACUGAAUUAGAUGGUAUAUUGGGGAUGUUUC
rnacentral:lncRNA from 1 species